CCUCGAAAUGUGCAUUGCUCCGCCCACGACACAACUCGUGUUGGCAGCAUGGUUGGCAGCACGUUUUGCCAGUGUUUCCAACAUUCGCCAAGAGUUAAUUAAGCUUCGAUUUAGUAUUCAGUUGAGAACAGAACCCGGGACAGAGUAGAAAUCACUAUACGCAAACACGAAAAUAUCUGAAUUUCAGAACUGUUCGUCUUGGCUGAUUUAUCAGCAAAAAUAUUACUUUACCCUGUCUGGCCAACAAUCAAACGUUAGUUAUCACGUCAACUCGCUGACAAUGAGCAAAUCGCCGCAACUGCGACAUUUCAUCCAAGAAACCUUUCUCAAAUACCAACCAUUUUUUCCAUGUCCCCCAG